CCCGCUGAACUUAAGCAUAUCAGUAAGCGGAGGAAAAGAAACUAACGAGGAUUUCCUUAGUAACGGCGAGUGAACGGGAAACGGCCCAGCGCUAAAUCUUGUAGCCCUAACGGGUUGCGAGAAGUGUAGCGUACAGUAGGCCACAACUCUUUGAUGGCUGUCGACUUAAGUUCUCCUUGACUGGGGCUCCAGAGAAGGUGAAAGGCCUGUUCAGUCGAUGGCCGUCUUGGAGUCGGUUCUACUUGGAGUCGGGUUGUUUGGGAACGCAGCCCAAAUAUGAUGGUAAACUUCACCUAAGGCUAAAUACGGCCACGAAACCGAUAGUAAACAAGUACCGUGAGGGAAAGUUGAAAAGUACUUUGAAGAGAGAGUUCAAGAGGACGUGAAACCGGUAGGAUGGAAACGGAUAGAGCCGACGAGCAAGCCCGUAUUCAGCUAGUCGGCUGCGCGCAACAUGUCUGUGUCCCUCGGUCAGAGGGCAUAGACGUGUGCCUAGCGUGCGGUUCGGCUAGUGCAUUUGCGGGUGAUGUGCACUGAGGCGUGUGGUGAAGUCCUGGAAACCGUUAUGGGGAGGACAUACCCAACUUCGGGUAUGAAACCCACAUGUCGGCUAGUAGGGUUUUUGCUGCACGUAGCAAGUACGGCUAGGUGAUCUUUGCGCGCUGUCUGUGCUACCGGGCUAGCUACUUGGUCGAUCGCAUGCCGAUCGGAUCUCGUCGGUUGGUCUCCCGGUGGUGCGCCAGUGCCCUAGCUGGGCCUCGGUGUAAAAGUUGGUCAUCUCUCCGACCCGUCUUGAAACACGG
rnacentral:rRNA from 1 species